GUUACUGAGUUACCGCAGAGUGACCGCGAGUCACCGAGGCUGGAGGACCGGAAGUGGCCUUUCGUGGCUCUUCAGACGCUGAGCAGAGGCAUCAAGCCAUUACAAAAUAAGAACUCCUCUCUUCCAAGAAUGAAUGAGUUAUUGCAGCUACCUGAGAGCAUUUGAGAACAGCAACAGACCUUGCACACGGCUGCAUCCCAGUCAGGAAGCCUGGGCCCUCCACCGGAAUAGCUUCCUGCCCCCCUUGGUACACAGUGAUACUCACUGACUAACCUGCGGACAGAGGCUGCUGGUGGCUUCUAGAGGCCGGAGGCUUACCCUCUCCCAUCUGGCUCCCCUCCUUCCCUGAAAUGACUUCUGGCCCUGGUUUGAUGUCUGUGACCCGCAACAUCUUUAAAAACAGUCAUUGUCUAGCCUCGGAGCAUAGUUUGAUUAACUGGUUCCUAACCAAAGUGGAAAAAGAAGAGGUGGGGGAACUUCACAAGUGUGCCGAAUGCCAUGGGUCGGAAGAACUAAGUUGACCAUUGAGAUCAGAAAGUUCUUUCCAGUCUCAGCUAAUUUCAUGCCUUGGGGCUUGUGUGUUAAGAAUUACAGUGUCUUCCCCUUACUAAGCACUCACAUG